GGUUUCGUGGUGUAGUUGGGUUAUCACGUCAGUCUAACACACUGAAGGUCUCCAGUUCGAACCUGGACGAAAUCA